ensembl:lncRNA
AUGGAAGCUCCAGUUACAGAUGGUGAAGAUGUGUUCUGCCUUUUCUCCAAAUGUCCAUCUCUAAUGAUACCUGUGGUUGCAUGUUGUGUCCCCUGGCCAGGUCCCCUGUCUGCUAGCAUAAAGAGCAAGAGACAUGAGAUUAAGAGCGAUCCCACUCCAUUUGGCUAUGAAGACACUUUACGCGGUGCUAUGGCUGCAGUCAGGAAGCGUCAGAGCGGGACUGCUGGCGGCCCCCCAGCUGUCCCUAGAUCCACCUCACAACCAGGCUGGGCCCAGAAACGGCUCCCUUCCAUGGACGCAGACGACUUUGAGACGAUCCCCUCCAGUGCAGAGGAGUCCUCCAACUCGUCAGAAGAGGAAGGCAGCAAUAAAACCGGGGGCAGGGGCCGUUUCCGGGUGCAGCUGACCUAUGAGUCUCGUGAAGGCCGGGACCUUUCUCUGGAGGAUGGCCACCUGGUCCAGUUUGUGGAGGAAGUGGAGAGCGGACACUGGUGA